CAUUACAUUUUUUGUCCAUUUGGACUCCUUAGCCAUCUUAGUGUUUAAAGGUUUAGUUGCACUUGCUAACCAACUAAAUAGUUGUGGAGAAACACAUUUAAUUGAUGACUUUACUAUCUUUAGCUUAGGACUUUUCAAAAGCGAAGACCGGACCCUUUAGCCAUCUUCGUGUUCAUAGGAAUGAUUAACGGAGGACUAUUAAAAGCAAAGACUGGACUCCUUAGCCAUCUUUGUGUUUAUAGGAUUGAUUAACGGAGGAAUUUUAAAAGCGAAGACUAGACUCCUUAGCCAUCUUCGUGUUCAUAGUAAUGAUUAAUGGAGGAAUUUUAAAAGCGAAGACUGGACUCCUUAGCCAUCUUCGUGUUUAAAGGAUGUAGUUGAGGACUUAAAAGAUCGGUCUCCAUGGCCAUCUUUGUUUAGGUAGAAUAAAAAAUGGACUUGGACAUUUUUGAGAGCGAAGAUCGGACUCCACAGCCAUCUUCGUACUUAUUGAAAAGGAUAUUGUAUUAUUUUGUAAACAUGAGGAAUUUUAGCUUAGGACUAGAUGUAGUAAUAGUCAUCAAUUGAAUUGUUGAUCCAAGACAUACAUUUUUUGUCCCUUUUUUUUUUUACAAUGAUAUUGAAAGAUAACAUUAAAUAUCUAGACUAGAUAUUUUGUAUAGUAUUUUAUAAUAGCUAUACAUUUUUAAGUAAACUAUUUGUUGUUUUUUUUCUAUUUCAAAUGCUGAGCAUACAUAACUAAACUGGAAGAACAGAUGAAUUCCAAAACGCUAAAGCAACAGACAUCCCAGACACUUGGCUUGUAUGUGCUGCUACUUGUGAUUAAGAACUGACUUCAAAUGAUAGCAAGAGGAUGAUUUAAGCAUACAUAAGUAAACUGGAAGAACAGAUGAAGUCCAAAAUGCUAAAGCAACAGACAUCCCAGACACUUGGCUUGUAUGUGCUGCUACUUGUGAUUAAGAACUGACUUCAAAUGAUAGCAAGAGGAUGAUUUAAGCAUACAUAACUAAACUGGAAGAACAGAUGAAGUCCAAAACGCUAAAGCAACAGACAUCCCAGACCAACAUGAUGAAAAGGUAGACAACAUGAAGAUGUAGACCAACAUGAAGAUGUAGACCAGCAUGGUGAAGAUGUAGACCAGCAUGAUAAAGAUGUAGACCAACAUGAAGAUGAAAUUUAAACCAAAAAAUGGGUCAAGAGAUGUAUGGAAUAAAAUGUGAACAUCUUGAGAAGUAAAACAAUUCCUAGAGGCAAAGACACAGACACACCGGAUCUAUUAGAGAUUUUCCUUUUCUACCAUCAUUUAGAGACUUCCUUGUGCUCUAAGGAAACCUGCCAUUAUCUUUUGUUUGCUAAUUGGCAUUGAUGUUUUUACAUACCUAGUGCGUCUGAAAGAAAUUAACAUUUCCCUAAUGCUACUUCAAAACCAGACUUUCUCAAGACAAUUUUGGUGACCAAGCUGCAAUAUGGAACUCAGUAGGAAACAAUGAAGAAUGCUCCUAACCUCAGGUUGAGUACCCAUGCUCACCUACUAGAGUGGUGACACAUACUUCUACACCCACAGUUAUACAUCCUGAACCCUGUAACCCAACCUCACAACAUGGUUACAUUACCAGAAGUGGUUGCGAAGUCAGAAAACCUAACAGAUACAAUGAAUAGAACAAUCAUUUCUAAUACAGGUACAAGUACUCAAGUGAUGCACUUUGUAAGAACUAUAAUUGACUUGUAAAACUUGGUCUUUAUUUAGAUAUAUCUUGACAAUCAGUCCAGUCAUUUGUUCAUUUUUUUUUAUUUAAAGUAUUCCUUUUUUUCCCUCAAUCUUCUUGUUGUUUCAGUUCAAUGUUUUUGUAUUUUGAAGGAGGAAGGUGCUGUAGUAUAUUAUCGUUAUUAUUAUUGUACCAGUAGUAAGCAAACUUGUAUAUAUUUAUUCAUAAAUUCUAAUGCAGAAUAUCACUUCCACCGGAAAAUGUUGUAAUAACUAUACGUGUCUUCAGUUAACAUUCAAUACUCUAUAGUCCCAAAGCCUUGCUACAUUAUGCUUUUAAUUCAAUUUUUUAUCUCCCCUGCUUUUGUGUGCUAUCAUAUAAUGUUUAGUGUCACAUCCUUGCACAAUUUGUUCUAUGCUUUUUUACAGUGUAAAUAGUGACUUGACAUUAUUUAGCUCUAUUAUAAUAUUGUUAUAUUAUUAUAUUUAAAAUAAAACUGUUAACAUUUUCUAUGCUGUUAUAAUAUGAAUGUUUUGCUGUGUUACCAUGAAUGCAGUUUUGAGUUUUCGUCCGAUAUCUUAGAGGAGAAAUUUUCCAUAAAUAAUAAUAAUAAUAAGGCUUAUCUUCGAGUCUGAACAUUAGUGAGGAAUGCAGUAUUUUUCCUGUUGCUGCGCAGCCCCAUCUAGGACCUACAUAUUGUGCUAUAAAUAAAGAGUAUAUUAAUAUUUAC